rnacentral:rRNA from 1 species
UACGUAGGGGGCAAGCGUUGUCCGGAAUGACUGGGCGUAAAGGGCGUGUAGGCGGCCGAUUAAGUCUGGAGUGAAAGUCCUGCUUUCAAGGUGGGAAUUGCUUUGGAGACUGGUUGGCUUGAGUGCGGAAGAGGCAAGUGGAAUUCCCAGUGUAGCGGUGAAAUGCGUAGAGAUUGGGAGGAACACCAGUGGCGAAGGCGACUUGCUGGGCCGUAACUGACGCUGAGGCGCGAAAGCGUGGGGAGCGAACAGGAUUAGAUACCCUGGUAGUCCACGCUGUAAACGAUGAAUGCUAGGUGUAGGGGGUAUCGACCCCUCCUGUGCCGCAGUUAACACAAUAAGCAUUCCGCCUGGGGAGUACGGCCGCAAGGUUGAA